rnacentral:lncRNA from 1 species
UGAAUGGUAUAAAUCUCAAAACUCGUGAAUUGCUCGUGGUUGACUCAACAUAUAAUCUCGACUCGAGAUCAGCUCGAAUCAUAAACGAGCCAAGCUUGAGCCUAACUCUAAGCUCGGAUGGUUUUGAGGCUCGGCUCGAUACUCUUACAAGCUGAGGCGAUGAGGGCGCUCGAGCUCGGCUCGUUUACAGCCCUACACGCAAGUACGUGAUGGAAC